rnacentral:rRNA from 1 species
UACAGAGGUCCCGAGCGUUGUCCGGAGUUACUGGGCGUAAAGCGCACGCAGGCGGUCUGCUAAGUUUGGAGUGACAGUCGGUGGCUUAACUGCCAAAGUGCUUCGAAAACUGACAGACUUGAGGGCUUCAGAGGGACACGGAAUUCCGGGUGGAGUGGUGAAAUGCGUAGAGAUCCGGAGGAACACCAAAGGCGAAGGCAGUGUCCUGGGGAGUACCUGACGCUCAGGUGCGAAAGCCAGGGGAGCGAACGGG